CUGAGUUUUUGGUUUGAUUUGUGUUUCUGAGUCUUUGGUUUGAUUUGUGUUUUUCAGUCUGGUUUGAUCUGUGUUUCUGAGUCUUUGGUUUGAUUUGUGUCUUUGCAGUCUUUGGUUUGAUUUGCGUUGCUCAGUCUUUUGUUUGAUUUGUGUCUCGGUCUUUGGUUUGAUUUGUGUUACUGAGUCUUUUGUUUGAUUUGUGUUGCUUAGUCUUUGGUUUGAUUUGUGUUUCUGAGAUUCUGGUUUGAUUUGUGUUUCUGAGUCUUUUGUUUGAUUUGUGUUUCUGAGUCUUUGGUUUGAUUUGUGUUUUUCAGUCUUUGGUUUGAUUUUCGUUUCUGAGUCUUUGGUUUGAUUUGUGUUUCUGAGUCUUUGGUUUGAUUUGUGUUUCUGAGUCCUUUCUUUGAUUUGUGUUUCUGAGUCUUUGGUUUAAAUUGUGUUGCUGAGUCUUUUGUUUGAUUUGUGUUGCUGAGUCUUUGGUUUGUUUUGUGUUUCUGAGUCUUUGGUUUGAUAUUGUGUUGCUCAGUCUUUGGUUUGAUAUGAGUUUUUAAGUCUUUGGUUUGAUUUGUGUUUUUCAGUCUUUUGUUUGAUUUGUGUUUCUGAGUCUUUGGUUUGAUUUGUGUUGCUGAGUCUUUGGUUUGAUUUGUGUUGCUCAGUCUUUGGUUUGAUUUGUGUUACUAAGUCCUUGGUUUGAUGUGUGUUUUCGGUCUUUGGUUUGAUUUGUGUUUCUGAGUCUUUGGUUUGAUUUGAGUUGCUCAGUCUUUGGUUUGAUUUGUGUUUUUCAAUCUUUGGUUUGAUUUGUGUUGCUGAGUCUUUGGUUUGAUUUGCGUUUUUCAGUCUUUGGUUUGAUUUGAUUUUUCAGUCUUUGGUUUGAUUUGAGUUUUUCAGUCUUUGGUUUGAUUUGAGUUGCUGAGUCCUUGGUUUGAUUUGUGUUGCUAAGUCCUUGGUUUGAUGCGUGUUUUCCGUCUUUGGUUUGAUUUGUGUCUGUUGGUCUUUGGUUUGAUUUGUGUUGCUGAGUCUUUUGUUUGAAAUGUGUUUUUCAGUCGUUGGUUUGAUUUGUGUUUCUGAGUCCUUUGUUUGAUUUGUGUUUUUCAGUCUUUGGUUUGAUUUGUGUGUUCUGAGUCGUUGGUUUGAUUUGUGUUGCUCAGUCUUUGCUUUGAUUUGUGUUGCUAAGUCUUUGUUUGAUGUGUGUUUUCGGUCUUUGGUUUGAUUUGUGUCUCUCAGUCUUUGGUUUGAUAUGUGUUGCUGAGUCUUUGGUUUGAUUUGUGUUGCUGAGUUGUUUGUUUGAUUUGUGUUUUUCAGUCUUUGGUUUGAUUUUUGUUUUUUCAGUCUGUUGUUUGAUUUGUGUUUCUGAGUCCUUGGUUUGAUUUGUGUUGCUGAGUCUUUGGUUUGAUUUGUGUUGCUGAGUCUUUGGUUUGAUUUGUGUUUUUCAGUCUUUGGUUUGAUUUGUGUUUUUCAGUCUUUGGUUUGAUUUAAGUUUUUUAGUCUUUGGUUUGAUUUGUGUUGCUUGUUCUUUUGUUUGAUUUGAGUUGCUGAGUCUUUGUUUGAUUUGAGUUUUUCAGUCUUUGGUUUGAUUUGCGUUUCUUAGAAUUUGGUUUAGAUUUGUGUUUCUGAGUCUUUGGUAUGAUUUGUGUUUCUGAGUCGUUGGUUUGAUUUGUGUUGCUCAGUCUUUGCUUUGAUUUGUGUUGCUAAGUCUUUGUUUGAUGUGUGUUUUCGGUCUUUGGUUUGAUUUGUGUCUCUCGGUCUUUCUUUUGAUAUGUGUUGCUGAGUCCUUGGUUUGAUUUGUGUUUUUCAGUCUUUGGUUUGAUUUGUGUUGCUGAGUCUUUGGUUUGAUUUGUGUCGCUGAGUCUUUGGUUUGAUUUGUGUCUCUCGGUCUUUGGUUUGAUUUGUGUUGCUGAGUCUUUGGUUUGAUUUGUGUUUCUGAUUCUUUGGUUUGAUUUGUGUUUCUGAGUCUUUGUUUUGAAAUGUGUUUUUCAGUCUUUGGUUUGAUUUGUGUUGCUGAGUCUUUGGUUUGAUUUGCGUUUUUCAGUCUGUUGUUUGAUUUGUGUUGCUAAGUCUUUUGUUUGAUUUGUGCUUCUGAGUCUUUGGUUUGAUUUGUGUUGCUGAGUCUUUGGUUUGAUUUGUGUUUUUCAGUCUUUGUUUUGAUUUGUGUUUCUGAGUCUUUUGUUUGAUUUGUGUUUCUGAGUCUUUGAUUUGAUUUGUGUUUUUUCAGUCUGCUGUUUAAUUUGUGUUUCUGAGUCCUUUCUUUGAUUUGUGUUUCUGAGUCUUUGGUUUGAUUUGUGUUUCUGAGUCUUUGGUUUGAUUUGUGUUGAUGAGUCUUUGGUUUGAUUUGUGUUUUUCAGUCUUUGGUUUGAUUUGUGUUUCACAGUCCUUUCUUUGAUUUGUGUUUCUGAGUCUUUGGUUUGAUUUGUGUUGAUGAGUCUUUGGUUUGAUUUGUGUUUCACAGUCCUUUCUUUGAUUUGUGUUUCUGAGUCUUUGGUUUGAUUUGUGUUGAUGAGUCUUUGGUUUGAUUUGUGUUUUUCAGUCUUUGGUUUGAUUUGUGUUUCACAGUCCUUUCUUUGAUUUGUGUUUCUGAGUCUUUGGUUUGAUUUGUGUUGCUGAGUCUUUGGUUUGAUUUGUGUUUUUCAGUCUUUGGUUUGAUUUGUGUUUUUUCAGUCUGCUGUUUAAUUUGUGUUUCUGAGUCCUUUCUUUGAUUUGUGUUUCUGAGUCUUUGGUUUGAUUUGUGUUGCUGAGUCUUUGGUUUGAUUUGUGUUUUUCAGUCUUUGGUUUGAUUUGUGUUUUUCAGUCUUUGGUUUGAUUUAAGUUUUUUAGUCUUUGGUUUGAUUUGUGUUGCUUGUUCUUUUGUUUGAUUUGAGUUGCUGAGUCUUUGUUUGAUUUGAGUUUUUCAGUCUUUGGUUUGAUUUGCGUUUCUUAGAAUUUGGUUUAGUUUGAGUUUCUCGGGUCUUUGGUUAUUUUGUGUAGUGUGCACUGAUAAGCACAAUGUGCUUCAGGUAAUUCAGAAUUGAAUUGAAUUGUGUUACUCAGUCUUUGGUUUGAUUUGAUUUUUUUAGUCUUUGGUUUGAUUUGCGUUUCUCAGACUUUGGUUAAAUUUUGAGUUUCUCCGCUGGUUAUUUUGUGUAGUGUUUGUAGACAGUUGUUUCUC
rnacentral:lncRNA from 1 species